AGGAUUAUAGUUAACUAUAACAUUUGAAUUGCAAUCAAAAAGUGCUUCCUCUAAGCUAAUCUUA
rnacentral:tRNA from 1 species